rnacentral:tRNA from 2 species
UAUAUUUUAGUAUAAGAGGUAUGUAAGCUUUUGAUGCUUAGGGGGGUAGUUUAAUUCUAUCAAAUAUAG